rnacentral:rRNA from 1 species
CCAGCAGCUGCGGUAAUUCCAGCUCCAAUAGCGUAUAUUAAAGUUGUUGCAGUUAAAAAGCUCGUAGUUGGAUUUCUGGUUUGAUGCCCUGGCCCGCUGCAAAUUUUGUAGUGUGUGCCGGCUGUGCGUCUGCCAUCCUUCUAGAAAACGUUCCUACCCUUCACUGGGCCGGGUUCGAGAUCUAGAUCUUUUACUUUGAAAAAAUUAGAGUGUUUAAAGCAGGCAGUUGCUAUGAAUACAUUAGCAUGGAAUAAUAAUCUAGGACUUCGGUUCUAUUUUGUUGGUUUCUAGUACUGAAGUAAUGAUUGAUAGGGAUAGUUGGGGGUGCUAGUAUUGAGCGGCCAGAGGUGAAAUUCUUGGAUUCGCUCAAGACUAACUUAUGCGAAAGCAUUCACCAAGGAUGUCUUCUUUAAUCAAGAACGAAAGU